AUUUAUCUAAUAUAAUAGUAUAUUUGACUUCCAAUCAAAAAGUCUGAUCAUUUCAGGAUAAAUAA
rnacentral:tRNA from 1 species